rnacentral:rRNA from 1 species
CAGCAGCCACGGGAAUACGUAGGUGGCGAGCGUUGUCCGGAAUUAUUGGGCGUAAAGGGAGCGCAGGCGGACAUAUAAGUCCAUCUUAAAAGUGCGGGGCUCAACCCCGUGAGGGGAUGGAAACUGUAUGCCUUGAGUGCAGGAGAGGAAAGCGGAAUUCCCAGUGUAGCGGUGAAAUGCGUAGAUAUUGGGAGGAACACCAGUGGCGAAGGCGGCUUUCUGGACUGUAACUGACGCUGAGGCUCGAAAGCCAGGGGAGCGAACGGGAUUAGAUACCCCUGUAGUCCCUGUCUCUUAUACA